rnacentral:rRNA from 1 species
CAUGCCGCGUGUGUGAAGAAGGCCUUCGGGUUGUAAAGCACUUUCAGCGAGGAGGAAGGGGUUGUAGUUAAUAGCUGCAAUUUUUGACGUUACUCGCAGAAGAAGCACCGGCUAACUCCGUGCCAGCAACCGCGGUGACUGAGCGGGCUGGCAAGGCGCAUA